GGAUUAGAUACCCGGGUAGUCCACGCCGUAAACGAUGGAUACUAGCUGUUGGAGGUAUCGACCCCUUCAGUAGCGAAGCUAACGCGUUAAGUAUCCCGCCUGUGGAGUACGGUCGCAAGACUAAAACAUAAAGGAAUUGACGGGGACCCGCACAAGCGGUGGAUUAUGUUCUUUAAUUCGAUGCUAAACGAAGAACCUUACCAGGGUUUGACAUCCUUGGAAUUACUACGAAAGUAGUGAGUGCUUUAUUGAACCAAGUGACAGAUGUUGCAUGGCCGUCGUCAGCUCGUGUCGUGAGAUGUUUGGUUAAGUCCAUUAACGAGCGCAACCCUUGUCAGUAGUUGGAUUUUUCUACUGAGACUGCCCCGGCAACGGGGAGGAAGGAGGGGAUGAU
rnacentral:rRNA from 1 species